rnacentral:rRNA from 1 species
CCUACGGGAGGCAGCAGUGGGGAAUAUUGGGCAAUGGGCGCAAGCCUGACCCAGCAACGCCGCGUGAAGGAAGAAGGCUUUCGGGUUGUAAACUUCUUUUCUCAGGGACGAAGAAAGUGACGGUACCUGAGGAAUAAGCCACGGCUAACUACGUGCCAGCAGCCGCGGGAAUACGUAGGUGGCAAGAGUUAUCCGGAUGUACUGGGUGUAAAGGGUGUGUAGGCGGGAAAGCAAGUCAGAUGUGAAAACCAUGGGCUCAACCUGUGGCUUGCAUUUGAAACUGUCUUUCGUGAGUACUGGAGAGGCAGACGGAAUUCCUGGUGUAGCGGUGAAAUGCGUAGAUAUUAGGAGGAACACCAGUGGCGAAGGCGGUCUGCUGGACAGCAACUGACGCUGAGGCGCGAAAGCGUGGGGAGCAAACAGGAUUAGAUACCCGGGUAGUC